AACGCUAGCUACAGGCUUAACACAUGCAAGUCGAGGGGCAUCAGGGUAGCAAUACCGCUGGCGACCGGCGCACGGGUGAGUAACACGUAUCCAACCUACCGUUAACUCGGGGAUAGCCUUUCGAAAGAAAGAUUAAUACCCGAUAGUAUAUUUUCUUCGCAUGUUGAAAAUAUUAAAGAAUUUCGGUUAUCGAUGGGGAUGCGUUCCAUUAGGCAGUUGGCGGGGUAACGGCCCACCAAACCUACGAUGGAUAGGGGUUCUGAGAGGAAGGUCCCCCACAUUGGAACUGAGACACGGUCCAAACUCCUACGGGAGGCAGCAGUGAGGAAUAUUGGUCAAUGGACGAAGGUCUGAACCAGCCAAGUAGCGUGAAGGAUGACUGCCCUAUGGGUUGUAAACUUCUUUUAUAUGGGAAUAAAGUUCUCCACGUGUGGAGUUUUGUGUGUACCAUUAUGAAUAAGCAUCGGCUAACUCCGUGCCAGCAGCCGCGGUAAUACGGAGGAUGCGAGCGUUAUCCGGAUUUAUUGGGUUUAAAGGGAGCGUAGGUGGACUGGUAAGUCAGUUGUGAAAGUUUGCGGCUCAACCGUAAAAUUGCAGUUGAUACUGUCAGUCUUGAGUACAGUAGAGGUGGGCGNAAUUCGUGGUGUAGCGGUGAAAUGCUUAGAUAUCACGAAGAACUCCGAUUG
rnacentral:rRNA from 1 species